AUGGAGGGUCUUAUUCCAUUUGUGUACAAAGCCGUAGUCCAAUACAAAAAUGGCAAAGAAAGGACUAACAUAAGUUCUUGGUUUUGUGACUCACCUUCUUACUCUUACAUGAAACUUCCCGCCGGUGAUUCGGGUCAGUUUCAAACCAUUUAUUCUUCUUCACCUUCCUCGAACCCUACCAAAGUCAUCAUAUCUUCUUCGGGCGAUGAUGUUCGAUCUCCACGUCGUCGCUCUAUCAAUUCGCGAAGGGUUUCAACAUGA